rnacentral:rRNA from 1 species
UACGUAGGGGGGCAAGCGUUGUCCGGAUUUAUUGGGGCGUAAAGAGCGUGUAGGCGGCUAUACAGGUCCGCUGUGAAAACUCGAGGCUCAACCUCGAGACGUCGAUGGAAACCAUCUGGCUAGAGUCCGGAAGAGGAGAGUGGAAUUCCCGGUGUAGCGGUGAAAUGCGCAGAUAUCAGGAAGAACACCCGUGGCGAAAGCGGCUCUCUGGAACGGUACUGACGCUGAGACGCGAAAGCGUGGGGAGCGAACAGG